UACGGAGGGUGCAAGCGUUAUCCGGAUUCACUGGGUUUAAAGGGUGCGUAGGUGGGCAGGUAAGUCAGUGGUGAAAUCUCCGGGCUUAACCCGGAACUGCCGUUGAUACUAUUUGUCUUGAAUAUAGUGGAGGUGAGCGGAAUAUGUCAUGUAGCGGUGAAAUGCUUAGAUAUGACAUAGAACACCAAUUGCGAAGGCAACUUGCUACACUAUUAUUGACACUGAGGCACGAAAGCGUGGGGGAU
rnacentral:rRNA from 1 species